AACGCACCUUGCGCUCCUUGGUAUUCCUUGGAGCAUGCCUGUUUGAGAGUCUUGAAUAUCUCUGCUCUUAUUUUUUUAAUUAAGAAAUAACGAGUCAGGUCCUUGGGCCUGCUUGCGGUUUGGUUACAAACACAAGCUUGCCUUAAAUGAAUUAGCUGAGCUUCAGCAGAGUUGUUAAGUAACAUUGAAAACUCUCGUAAGAAGAAGCUUGCUCUCUAAUCUUUGUCGUCUUUUGUGAACGAUAAUAUUUUCUAUUUUGGCCUCAAAUCAGGUAGGACUACCCGCUGAACUUAA
rnacentral:misc_RNA from 1 species